GGUGUAAAGGCUAGCAUACUUCCGAAGAAAUAACCGGCUAGGUACACCGCUUUAUGCAUGGGAAGACUUUCAUGGAGAUGGACUCUAAAUUAUGUCACUUUAAUGUGAAAAUUCAUAUUGGUUGCCUAACCAAUUUUAAUGUAUUGAUCUUUAAUGUGUUGAUUUUAAUGUAUCGAUUCAAUGCGGUAUCACCAUAAUUACCUAAUGAACUUAAAACAUGGACUUUAAAUAAAUGAUAUCGGACCUCUCUUUAUUACCCCACGGUUACGUAAUACGGUCAUGUCCCGCGAAUAUGGGGAUAUCCUUAGCAAAGACCCUUCGGUAAAAUCAUCAUAGUCCCUCGGAUGUUGCCUUCGAAAAUACGAUUUUGUCCCUCAAUGACCCUUCGGUGUAGCCUACGGUUAAAUGAUGAUAGUCCCUUCGAAUGCUAAGGUAUCCUCACAACUGUUGCCUUCAAUGACCAACCGAUGACCCUACGAUGACCCUCCUACAUCCCCAGGAUAAAACUACUUACUUCUCAAUAGUAAGGACAGUUUUACCCUCAUAAGGAUAGGAAAUGCCCGGAAAGACCUCGGACAGGUAUAACCUUAAUUGCUCAUUCAUAACAAAAAAUGCUUUUCGCACCCCACACCUUUCAAACGUCUUCUUUUGGAAAAUCACCACUUAGCAUACAUCCGUACUAGGAUCAUUGCCAAGUUAUAUUUUUCUAAGCUACUUUCAAAAAAACUAAAUGAGAUAACCACUUUGUAUACAUUCAUGCAAGAAUCAUUACAAAGUUAAAUUCUCCUUUUCAAACAUUUUUCAUACAUUUCUCAACCACCUUUUUCAAACAAAGAAAACAUAAAUGAUUGAGCAAUUAAGAGCCCAUGGAGAACCAUGGAUACAAAGGGUGCUAAUACCUUCCCUU
rnacentral:lncRNA from 1 species